GAUGAACGCUGGCGGCGUGCCUAAUACAUGCAAGUCGAGCGAACAGACGAGGAGCUUGCUCCUCUGACGUUAGCGGCGGACGGGUGAGUAACACGUGGAUAACCUACCUAUAAGACUGGGAUAACUUCGGGAAACCGGAGCUAAUACCGGAUAAUAUAUUGAACCGCAUGGUUCAAUAGUGAAAGACGGUUUUGCUGUCACUUAUAGAUGGAUCCGCGCCGCAUUAGCUAGUUGGUAAGGUAACGGCUUACCAAGGCAACGAUGCGUAGCCGACCUGAGAGGGUGAUCGGCCACACUGGAACUGAGACACGGUCCAGACUCCUACGGGAGGCAGCAGUAGGGAAUCUUCCGCAAUGGGCGAAAGCCUGACGGAGCAACGCCGCGUGAGUGAUGAAGGUCUUCGGAUCGUAAAACUCUGUUAUUAGGGAAGAACAAAUGUGUAAGUAACUAUGUACGUCUUGACGGUACCUAAUCAGAAAGCCACGGCUAACUACGUA
rnacentral:rRNA from 1 species